rnacentral:sRNA from 1 species
GAUGCCAGGGUCAAAAGGUCAAAAAGCCGUUCAUGCUUGCAUGAUAAGGCUUUUGAACUUGGGACCCGCCAAACAUGAGAAAGUAGCGAUUUACGUAGUAAAUCAGCGGAUUUCGAAUGUUUAUAGAAUUGCGGGAGUUGCUUUGCAGCGGAGCAAUUCGUAGGCAUC